AGAAUCUGUAGAGCCAAUUUCGAAAAGGAAAUCUAAUUACGAUCUGGAACUCGAGAGGGUUGCGACGAGUGAGCUUCUCUUCCUCAGGAGCCAUAGACACCACCUGCAACUGCUUCCUUGUCCUGCGGCUCAGAGGGAAGCGUUGAACAGAGAUGAAAGGGCUACUGAUAGAAGAAGCAGCUCCGUUUAGCGACAGUGAAGAUAGUGGCAGAGAGAGAAGUGGCAACGGUGACUAAAGCGAUGCCGAGACAUGAAGCGGCGCCGUAGCUCCUCAGCCUCUCUGUCUUCUAUGAUUCUAUCGGUUCUGUCAACACUUUCUGAUAAGAGAGGAUGGAUUUGGUCAGAGGAAGAAUCUCAACUGCAUUACUUUUAAUUGCAGGAGCAUAUGACAGCGACGAAGCAGCAGCACAUACUGGGGACCUGACACACCAUCUUUUAUUUUCUGUGUUUGUGCAGAAGAACACUCCAUCGCUAUCAGUGUCACAGUUUGGUGAUUGGGACCAAAAAAGAGGAGGAACAUUGCCUGACUACUCUCUGGAUUUAACUAAGAUUGGAGAGAUGAGGAAACAAAAAAAAAAGAGACCCUUCUCCAGCCAGUUUAGGCAACGAGGAUGAUGAGCUCAUUAAGCCACCCGACUCAGCUACUUCAACAACUGCUAAAUUCACAAAAUUGUUUAUGUCAAGUAAGGAAAUAAAAGGUGUGGAAGAAGAAUGAUUCUACUCUGCUCGGUCUGGACAGUAGGGUGAACUACCAACUGUAUGUAUAACUCUCAACUGGCAGCUCUUUGGACUCCCAAAUGAAAAAGAGGCUGUGUAUGGAGACUCUUAAAAAAGGGGUAGAUUGGGAGGCAUAUUUUUCCCAUUAUUGUUGCAGCUAAGUCUUUGCAACUCUUAAGAGAAGCCAAUUUCAUCGUGUGAUUCAAGUAUAGUAGUACGACUUCUUAUAUCCAAGUGUAAGUUUCGCUAAAUAUGACGUCAUGAGUUGAUUGGUUUAGUGACAAAUAUGGGUGGCUAAGUGGAUGUUAAGCAUAUGGCAAAGCGCUACAAUGGGAACAUACGAUACCCUCUUAUUGGCAUUUGAUAUGAACGAAAGAGCUAACCAGGCCAAAUUUUUAUGGAACAUUAUUCCUGUGACGAUAUUCCUACAAGUAUCUUUUGGAGAUUUAACUCGACUUUCGAGUCUUUGUUCUCUUUCUACGGGAAUCAAAGUUCAUCUAAAAAAGUAUAUAUGUAAUAAUUGUCAAAAAAAAAAGAAGAAGUAUAUAUGUAAUGUAUAUACAUACUAAUAUUUGAAUCGUCUUGUGAAAGAAACUUUAUGAAACUACUUGGUCAGGUGAAGUAAUGUGCAUAAUUGUUUUAUCUA